AUGGCCACCGGAAAUUGCACGGCUAAAGCAGAUGACUUCUCUAAGCACAUAGAUGGGCAGUUGCUGCGAGUGAACGCUCUGCUGGUGGCGAGCACCAUCAUGAUAGGAGUUAUGGUCGGGAUGGGUGCCUAUGGUCAGCGCUACCGCCACCAUCCAUUGACCGGCUUCCUCUUCCUUGGUGCCAACAUCGUGUUCCUGCCCCUCCUCUCCUAUGUUGUCUCUACCAUCGGUAAUGAAGACCCCGUCGCUCUUUAUUCAUCUGAUCUAGACAUCAUAACAGGGCGGUGUGACCCACAGGACCACAUCAUCUCUGUCUUGAUGUGGGCUAGUCUUGUUCAGAUUGCUGCCGUCAACACCACUGCAGUAGUUGCUGGUGAUGAUGACAAGAAAGGCCGAAACAUUGGCCCUCCUGCCACGGUACUGCUUAUUCAAGCAAUAUGGACUUCCUACCUUACCAUUGACUUCUUGGGAAAGGGUUAUUAUUCAAUGCAAAAAUGGUCCUUAAAAGCGGUGGCGCCUGAAGACGUAUUGAUCCUUCUUCCACCGUUUGCUCUUACUGUUGCCAAACUACUUAUCAAAUAUUAUGCUUGGUACAGUGCAAGAGGGUCAUUAGCGUUUGGGCGCAAUUCUCACCUCAUUGUUGGAUACAUGGAGCAGCUAAAAGAUGAAAGCCCACAUGCUGAGCUGGCCCUUCCUCCACUCAUAGUUACAGGAGAGGACACAACAUUGGUACAGAAGGAGCCUCAUGGUUAUAGUCUCAAAUGGUUAUCCAACCAAGCUGACAGGACAAGGAUAGACAACAACGGCUUAGUGACCAUUGACAAAGUUUGGCGGUUGGAGGAUGACAUAUUUCUGAAGUCUUCAAUGAAGCAGUUGAAAGAUUUAUGUUUUUCAUUUGCGUUGUUCAAGCUCCUAAGAUGUCGAUUUGCAAGCCAUACAAUUGCUGAGACUAGUUUCAUCAAGGCCCAUAACUUAUUGCCACACGUGUUGCUCCAAGAUGGUGAUGAUGAAAGAGCAAUUGAGGCAUGCUUCUUCUUGGCAACAAUCACCUUGGAAGAAGAAGUUACUGGUCGUCUGUUGCGCUGCAAAUGUAGGCUGCUAAAGCAUUGGGAGGACAAAAUGAACCAGUGCUCAGUAUUUGCGCUCCACCCAAGCACAACUCCAGUGGCUCUUCUCCGGCGCUUAAUCCCUCUUCUUUACAGGAAGAAGGUACCAAGAGCGGUGAAGACCGCUAUCCUCAAGCCAUUGAGAAGCCCCAGUUAUCGCCCAAGCAAUGGCGUGGCAUCCCUAUGCACAAGUCUACAUCUACAGGCCGGCAACAACCCCCUCUCGGCGUCCAGUGGCGUGAAAGGUGUAGCCUCUACCAUGCUCGUGGUCCACAUUGCCACGAGCAUCCUGGAAGAGAGAUCGGAGCCGCACCAGCCCGAGUCUGCUCAUGAGACGGUUGCCACACACUUGUCACACUACUGUGCCUACUUGGUGGCCUACGCCCCCGAGCUACUCCCCGACGACAACCAGUGGUGCAAGAGCUUGUACAAGGCCGUCCAGAAGGAAGCCAAACAUGCAAUCGUGGUCGCUUGCCGCGUCGGGGUGGCGUUGAAUCCUGAAGGGCUGACACAGGCGCUGAGCGCAGGGUCUGAGGUGCAACAUGACCUGCUCAAGAAUGGUGUAGAGCUCGGGAGGAAGCUGCUCAAGAAUGGUGCGGAGCUCGGGAAGAAGCUGGUGGAACUGGCAGAGGGUGAAGGAGAAGAGGUGGCCUGGGAGGUCCUCGCCAACUUCUGGUCCGAGAUGAUUCUUUAUGCCGCUCCGUCAGACAACGUCGAUGCUCACGCGGAGGCCGUUGCGCGGGGCGGCGAGCUGAUAACGCUCAUUUGGGCAUUGCUCACCCACCUUGGGGUCGUCAGCCGGCCAGAGGCCGCUCCUGGCAUGCCUAACGCUCCUAGUGAUGUUUGA
rnacentral:rRNA from 1 species